GCGCUUGUUUUCCGGUAGCAAUAUUGGGAAACAGGAGCGGCGCAAGGGUGCGUAACACGUGGAUCAUCUGCCUGGAAGUUCGGAAUAAUUCCGCGAAAGCGGGACUAAUGCCGGAUGUGGUUGGAAAACUAAAGCUGGGGACCCGCAAGGGCCUGGCGCUUCCAGAUGAGUCCGCGGCCUAUCAGCUAGUUGGCGGGGUAACGGCCCACCAGGGCUAAGAUGGGUAGCUGGUCUGAGAGGACGACCAGCCACACUGGAACUGAGACACGGUCCAGACACCUACGGGUGGCAGCAGUCGAGAAUUUUUCUCAAUGGGCGAAAGCCUGAAGGAGCGACGCCGCGUGGGGGAUGAAGGGCUUCGGUCCGUAAACCCCUGUCAUUUGCGAACAAACCUUGAUUAUGAACAAUGAUCAAGCUGAUAGUAGCGAAAGAGGAAGGGACGGCUAACUCUGUGCCAGCAGCCGCGGUAAUACAGAGGUCCCAAGCGUUGUUCGGAUUCACUGGGCGUAAAGGGUGCGCAGGUGGUUUGGCAAGUUUGACGUGAAAGCCCCGGGCUUAACCCGGGAAUGGCGUUGAAAACUGCUUGAACUGGAGGAUUGGAGGGGGGACUGGAAUUCUCGGUGUAGCAGUGAAAUGCGUAGAUAUCAAGAGGAACACCAGUGGCGAAGGCGAGUCCCUGGACAAUACCUGACACUGAGGCACGAAAGCCAAGG
rnacentral:rRNA from 1 species